rnacentral:lncRNA from 1 species
UUUGUAAUUAUUUAUCUUGUAUUUUUAAUCAUGUUUUUACGUAUAACUUCUUUAAUUCAUUCUCAAUUCGACUGGAUUAUUUUUUAUGUGUACCUAUGUAUCGCUAUUUCUUUGCAGACUGUGAACGAUAUUGAUGAUUUAUAUUCCAGAAUAUCCGUAAUUCAAAUUAGAAGCAUUCUUCUCUAAUGCUCUCUUUUUAAGUUUCCACUGUCUCUCUCGCUUAAACCGUCGCAGAAAUUAAAUUUGAUACUUCUGAUUGGCGUUUGCCUACGUCAUCAGUGCUUCAUGCGCAUGAAACGCCUUCAUAGUUGUUCGUAGCGGUGGGUUGUCUUCGUUGUCUUGUUCGCAUCAUUGAAAUUCAACUUGCCGAGCUAAUUUUUUCCACGUGUAAUACUCUGAAAGACUAUUGAGAUUAAUUCAUCCUAUAUAUUAUUAUUUUUUGCAAUUAUCCACACAGUAAAUUAAAUUUUCCGCGUAAUAGAUAUUUCUGUAAAUUUUAUGCAAGUAUAAGAGAAGACACGCCUCAUCGCGAUUUUAAAAGUAUGAAUUUUACAAUUUUACUUGAUUUUUUGUUUAAGAUAAACGAGUAAGGAAAUUUAAAUUUAUUUUGAUGCUACCGAAAAAGCAAGUCAUCUCCUAUGGUGUUUUAUCUGUUAUCAUCUUGGUGACUUGUAGUUAAUUAAGAGGAACGUUGGAAGAGCUCCAGAUUCUGUUAAAUUAUGAAGCAUUGGUUGUCUCAGUGGUCAAUCGCUCCAGAAAGUAGCUGUACCUAUGGCCAUAAAAAAAAGCAUGAAGACGCCAUUUUUCCAAUCGGAACGGAAUUUGUGCUGUUGCUGAAGAAGGAUUUAUGACAAUGAACUGAUUGUCCUACCAAAUUAAAAGGAAUUGGUGCUACUGAAACAACGGAUGCUUUUGAUGUCUUCACCUUGCAACAUUAUGCAGUUAAUUUUGACCCUGAGAAUGGGAGGUAAUUGGAAAUUAAUUUGGAAGCCACUGAAACAACAGAUUGUUCUCAGUGGUAUCUCUCCUAAAUUUGGUUUAUUCAUCAUAUUGGUAGACUUUAGAACGCUACUUCCUACAGUUAGUUAAGAUCCUUCAACAAAUAAGAGGGAAUUAAAGUUUAGUUUGGUCAUACUGAAACAACCAUUGUCUACAUGGGUGUGGUCUUUUGGUGAAGGAAGUAUAUUCUUGAUGAUUUGCUGUUAUCGUCUUCGCAUUGCAUCAUUAUGCAGUUAGUUUUGAAUUGAUGAGUGAGAGCAACUGGAUAUUUAUUUGAAUUCCACUGAAAUAACAAAUUUUCUG